UAAAUCAGCGUUGUACCCUGGGGUUUCUCAAAAGCUUUUCCAGGGUUCAUCAGUGAGAAGAUUCUGAUGACAGAAAUGCUUCCUUGAAAGACAGCUUGCUCACCAGGAUACAUUUUUUUCAUGCAAUACAGCUGUAGGGGAUUAUUGGGCACAUUUCAGACUAUGUUCUGUUUGCUAGGGGAAUGGCAAGACUUAACAGGCCUGAGCUAGUGCCCCAUGUGGACUAUGUGGGUACUCCAGAACAUGCCCAGAAUCCUCUGCAAUGGGAUAAGAUUUCAUGCCUCUCUGCUUCUCAUCCCCAAGAUCUGAGUGAACUGUCCAUUUCUUGAAUUCCUUUUCCGGGAGAUGCAAUAAACUCAACACCUCAAGUUGUUUUAAGCUGUGGCUUGAUCUGAUUACUGGAAAUGUGAUCUGAUGAAGUGUUAGGCACUGUACUUGAAAAGACCAUCUGUCCACUGCUCACAAUAAGUAAAAAAUAAAAUCUAAAAGCAAUGGCUGAGAAAUGCAAAGAGAUUUGUAGAGACACAAAAUAAGCACAGGCCUGUGCAGCUUUAGUAGCAUCUGUGAAUUCCUUGAUGUUUCAGGAAAUCCUUGACUGUUCCUGCAGCUUAAAGCUUUCUGGCUGCUUUAAGCAGCAAACAGCAAUGCUAGGACUCAAUAUUGAUCCCCAGAUGGUGUGCAAAAUGAGCAUAACUGGCACACUGAUAAGGAGGAGGAAUUUAGCAGGAAAAGCAAAUGGUGGGAGCUAGGCUUGCCAGGUCCAGACGGUGGAAAAAGUCGAUAUCUGUCACCAAAAAAGUGGAAAUCAAGGACGCUUUUCACCAAAAAGGCCUUAUGCUGCUGCUAAAUACAGCAGAAAUACAAUACUGUGAAGCUAGAAGAAAGAGGUAACCAAUCCUGACAGAUGUCUGCCACUUGCUGAUUUUGCUAUCCUUGGACUACUUAAGGCUGGAGGACAAAAGAGGCAAACUGAAGAAAAAACACAUGCCCUGGCAGAUUCUGCUUCCUCAGGACCAUGUGUGGGCACAAAUGAAACCAUAUUCCUGCAAGAUCUCUUCCUGGCUAAUUUAGCUGUUGCUGGAUAGCAAAGCAUGAUAGCAAUUUCCAGCAAGACAUCUGCCCUGCUGCAUUUUAUAUCUUCAACAUAACUUAUCUACAUAACUUACCUAACUUGACGGGAUAACAUAAUUUGACAGUUUCUCAGUAUACCACCAGAUUUUGCAACACCUAACAUUAAACUCCCUCUUUGCCACCUUAAUUUUCAUAUUGUCUUGUUUCUUCACUUAUAUUACCCAUUCUUAAUCAUUUUAUGCCCGAUUUCAUCCCUUAUCAAA